rnacentral:rRNA from 1 species
UGGGGAAUUUUGGACAAUGGGCGAAAGCCUGAUCCAGCAAUGCCGCGUGUGUGAAGAAGGCCUUCGGGUUGUAAAGCACUUUUGUCCGGAAAGAAAUCCUUGGCUCUAAUACAGUCGGGGGAUGACGGUACCGGAAGAAUAAGCACCGGCUAACUACGUGCCAGCAGCCGCGGUAAUACGUAGGGUGCAAGCGUUAAUCGGAAUUACUGGGCGUAAAGCGUGCGCAGGCGGUUUGCUAAGACCGAUGUGAAAUCCCCGGGCUCAACCUGGGAACUGCAUUGGUGACUGGCAGGCUAGAGUAUGGCAGAGGGGGGUAGAAUUCCACGUGUAGCAGUGAAAUGCGUAGAGAUGUGGAGGAAUACCGAUGGCGAAGGCAGCCCCCUGGGCCAAUACUGACGCUCAUGCACGAAAGCGUGGGGAGCAAACAGGAUUAGAUACCCUGGUAGUCCACGCCCUAAACGAUGUCAACUAGUUGUUGGGGAUUCAUUUCCUUAGUAACGUAGCUAACGCGUGAAGUUGACCGCCUGGGGGGUACGGUCGCAAGAUUAAAACUUAAUGAAUUGACGGGUCAUAGCUGUUUCC